GCGUCGCACAAACACGGAAACGACGCAAAAAUACUAUUUGUCUCGCACUCAAUGAAGAGUGCGACGCAUAACAUGGGUCCAGAUCAUAAAAAGAAGAUUUGCGUCAGACAAUUUGAAGCACGCGACGCAAACGAUCCAACAAUGUGCGUCGCACGUGCCUAAUUGUGCGACGCAGAUGACACGAAAUAAAUUUGGACCCGCUCACUUUGUUUAAACCCUAGCGCCUCAUCUAAACAUUGCAGCGCCUCUCUCAACUUCAUUUCACCCUCACUCUCACUCCAACUUCUAGCGGCUCUCUCUCUUCAUCUUCCUCUCCCAUCUCACUGUCACUCCCUCUCUCUCUCUUCAUCUUCCUCUUCCAUCUCAACAUUACAGCGCCUUUCUCUAUCUUAAUCUCGCUGGAACUUCAUUUUCAUCAUCUUCUUCGUUUUCUCUGUCAGAUUCAAGAAGUGUAAGAGAAGAUCUUCUGCUAAACUGAAGAUCUGACCGUUAAGAAAGACUCAUCAGCAGACGCAUCCUAGGCGAGUCGAUCUCGUGCCGGCGAAUCAAAUCUGGGUAAUUUAGGACUGUUUCUCGUCGGUUUAAAGGGUGAGGAUUGAAGAUUAAACUCUCGUCGGUGAAGAUUGAAGAACAUUAUCUCGUCGGUGAAGAUUGAAGAACAUUGAACUCUCGUCGGUUCAGAUUUGUUUUUAGUUAUGUUUUUUUAGUUUUCCCCUGUGAAUCAAGAAAGAAAAUAUUUUCAGAUUCAGGUUUUGUUAAUCUAUUCAGAUUUUUGUUUUUGUUCAAUAUUUUCAUUUUGUUCGUGUAUUUUGUUAUUCUUUUUCGAUUCUUGUAGUUCUUGUAGUUUCUCAGUUUUUUUGUUAAUCUAUUCAGAUUUUUGUUUUUGUUCAA